CGCAAGCAAAGAAAAAGUUGCUCUUCACUUUCCUCUGACCAUUGUGCACAACGCGACGGCAUCAGGGGUCCCACCAAGCUGAACACUCACUUUCCCCUUUCUCCAGUCUUGUGUUCUUGUCUUCUCGGGAGCUCCCAUGAGGGAAGCCGGUCCAGCUUCGAUCCACCGCGUGUGAGGACUGAUCUGAUGCCCCCCUCAUUUCCUUCUUGAUCGUCCUCACCUGCACGCACCCCACGUCAAGGGUAAGUGGUACGGCCACGCUGUGGCUUUCUACAACAGCUGGUUUGGAUCCCCCCGUGCCUCGUGGUCGUGGAUCUCUCGGGCCAGUGAACGGCGACGGAGGGGUUGCAGGUCCCGAAUAGCCGUUGCGCGAGGGAGGAGGCGAGCUCGUCGAAGUCGAUUGCCGUUGCAGUCGGCCUCCAUGGAGGCGAUGAGGGUGUCGAUCUCGUCCCCCGCAGCUAGCUUGGAUCCUGCGCGAGUGUGAGGUUUCCUGGAGGCGUUGUCAUCCAGAAGCGCCGAACCGGACGCGUCGUUGUUGUCCCAAAGCGAGACAGCUUAUCACGCUGUCUUCAUUCUUGAUAGCUGCAGCCCGGCUCUGGCGUUGCAUUCUUCCACCUGCAGAUUGACUUCUGGUCCAUCAACUACAUAAUCAUUGUAAGUUAUACAUGCCAAACAUAACUACGGGCAUAAUGUUAAUUUGUUUAUGUCCCUCCACUUUUUUUCCUGGCUUGUGACCGGCAUCGGCACGGAAGUGUUAGCCCCCCUACCCCCAUUAAUAUUCAGCAUACUUAAGAAAUACUCCGUCCGUUCCUAAAUAUAAGUCUUUGUAGAGAUUCCACUAUGAACCACAUGCGGAUGUAUAUAGAUGUAUUUAGAGUGUAGAUUCACUCAUUUUGCUCCUUAUCUAAUCCAUAGUGGAAUCUCUACAAAGACUUAUUUAGGAACGGAGGAAGUAGUUGUUUUAUUUGGGCUUCACUAUAGUUUUAAUAAUUCCCAAAGAUAAACUGAGAUUUAUAAUAACUGAAUAGGAAAAUUGAUCUGGUUACAUUAUACAUAUAAAACAUAAUGAUGCAUGGGCACUCACUAUUGGCCUGUACUGUAUAAUAAGAUUCAAAUAUCAGGUAUCACAUAAUAUAGAUUGUUGAUACUAAUUGAUAUAUUGAGCUAUUUCCAUCAAAUGUUGAUGCAUGUUUCCAAUGCUUUGAACAAACAAAUGAAACUAUCAGAAAAUGUAUUUCAUAUUUUACAUCCUACAAAGUAGGAAACUGGGAACAUAAUGAGAAGAAAAGAAUGAAUAUAGGAAGAAGCGGAAAUUAUGUUGAUACAUGCACUUAAAUGAGUCUUCCUUCUGGUUAUUUUCUUGCUUCAUUGGCAUUGCGACCGGAUGAUUAGGACUAUGCCCAAUCGUAAUGCUUGAAAAUACUGGGCUGAGUAAUCAUAUCCUUGUGAUAGCCGCUUAAGACAUCCUCAAGACGCGGCAACUUCUUUAAGCGACCGUUUGUUUACAUCAAUUUGUGAAAUAAACCUAUGAUGGUUGCCUUUCAAAUUGGGUAAUUUGAACAAUGUUAUACCAACCAGUAGUCGAAUUCCUAGUUGUGCUAAUGCGCUAACCAAGAAAAGUUAGAUUAUGUAGUGUCAAGAAAAUCAUAUGAAGCAGCAACUAUUAGGCAGUUAAUUGGUCUCACCAUUUGACACUAAAUAUCCUGCAGAGUCUGGAUGUUGCCGGGAUUAAUUGACUUGCUGCCCAGGAGCGCUGAACUUAGCUUCAUCCUACUUCUUGUAGGACAUUGUAGUAAACAGAUUACUUUAAUCACCUGAGACAUGCAGUGGCAUAUGUUAUGGUUAAGAUUGAAUAUCGCAAUCCAUGGCAGGGCAAGGAUCGAAGGUACGGCGCACCUGCUGCUGGUACUCGUUUGUCCAGUCUGGAGAAUACAUCCUCAUGUAGGAGACACAAUGGGGUGCUCUCCGAGCAGGAAUGACCGAGGCAAGCCACUGGCACCGGGUUGCUGACUCCUGCUGCUCUCAUUCUAGUUCGAGCUACAGAUCAUGAAUCAUGAGGAAGCAAUAUACAUGUCAAGUUGUUAACUUCUCAGAGCAUGUAUAUUAGUAUGGACUGCACUAUAGACAUAUCCUACAAUAGGUUGUCUUUUCGGUUCUCUGCAUAGACUUUUGAUUGGAUGAAACAUUAAGUAUCUAUUGAUUGGCACUAAUUAUUCUGUGUUCUC